rnacentral:rRNA from 1 species
GGCUUCAGUACGACUCAGUCAGAACUAUAAGUUUCAAAGCCCCGACGAGUAGGGUGGCGUGCCGGUGCGCGUUGAAGGCCAAGACGUGAGUCAGGCUGGAGCCGCCGGUAGUGCAGAUCUUGGUGGUAGUAGCAAGUACUCUGGUGAACCAACCUGGAGCUGUGAGGUCUGGAUUAGGGUUCCAUGUCAACAGUGAUUGAACAUGGGUGAGUCGAACCUAAGCCAACUGUGAAAGCAGUGACAUCCCGACAAAGGAGCGGUACGUGUGCUGCACUUACACCCCCAUAUAUAUAUCUCUCUCUCUGUGACGAUAAGGGUUCUGGUACGGAAAAUGCGCACACACAGUGAUCACUACAAGUAUGUGUGAGUGUGUGCGCUUGUUCGGUUACGCUCAUAAGCGUUGUUGAUCUAUGGCAAAAGGAUAUGACAAAACAAAAGGGAGAGAGAGGGUGAGCGUGAGAUUGCGAUUGCACGAGUCUUCUGCGUCUGGUUCUAUGUCUGGCGAAAGGGAAUGGGGACUUUGUUCCUUGACCGGUCCCGGCACCCUCGAUUGGCUCUGCCAGUCAAUGGUCCAUGCAAAUGGAACCAGGCCACAUCCGUCGGCAGUCGCCCGAGGAAGAGUUUUCUUUUCUGCUUAACGCACGAGAUCAUCCCUGGAAACAGUUCGGCUGGCGAAAGGGUGCCCCGUUGCGGCAGAGCGCCACGACUGUCGUGCGCGUCUCGGUGUUCCUGCCGGUCCGUGAAAAAGUGGUCGAGGGGAUUGCUCUUGUAUCAACGAAACGUCCGACAAGUUCGGGACGGACCGUACCCUAUAUCCGCAUCUGGUCUCCAAGGUUCGUAGCCUCUGCAGAGUCAGACACAUGUAGGUAAGGGAAGUCGGCAAACUCGAUCCGUAACUUCGGGAAAAGGAUUGGCUCUGAGGGCCGAGCUGGGCCGGGCCUUGCCUGCAAAGCAGUACCUAUAGUGACCGGAGUUUCAGGAGUGCGAGGGGCUCUAGUAGCUGCUUGUGCGUGUGUGCGUUCGCGCGUGCGCGCGUGUGGGCACGAACGAGUCCACCGCUCCGCUCCAACCACGAACGGCUGUGACGGCAAGGGCUCUGGGCGGGAGCGAUCAAACCGUUGGCCUCCAGCGCGUCUGGCUGGCGGCGGUGCUCCGUCUGACCCAUACGGCUCCAGCGGCUAGCGGCUAACUCAGAACUGUCAUGGACCAAGGGAAUCCGACUGUCUAAUUAAAACAAAGCGUCGUGACGGCCCCUGUUGGGUGUUGACGCGACGUG